AAAACAUUUCUCUGUGUGGGCAUUGACUUGCGGCCUUCAGUCUGGUGACGUAAGUCACCAGGCAGUACGGUAGCUGCUGAGAGGGACCGCCAGCUGGAACUGGACAUGCCAGACUCUACGGAGCAGCAGUGGGAAUAUGCACAUGGCGAAAGCUGAUGCAGCAACGCGCGUGAGGAUGACGCGUCGGGUGUAACCUCUUUAGUAGGGAAGAAGCGAAAGUGACGGUACCUGCAGAAAAAGCACCGGCUAACUACGUGCCAGCAGCCGCGGUAAUACGUAGGGUGCAAGCGUGUCCGGAAUUAUUGGGCGUAAAGAGCUCGUAGGCGGUUUGUCGCGUCUGCUGUGAAAUCCCGAGGCUCAACCUCGGGCUUGCAGUGGGUACGGGCAGACUAGAGUGCGGUAGGGGAGAUUGGAAUUCCUGGUGUAGCGGUGGAAUGCGCAGAUAUCAGGAGGAACACCGAUGGCGAAGGCAGAUCUCUGGGCCGUAACUGACGCUGAGGAGCGAAAGCAUGGGGAGCGAACAGGAUUAGAUACCCUGGUAGUCCAUGCCGUAAACGUUGGGCGCUAGAUGUAGGGACCUUUCCACGGUUUCUGUGUCGUAGCUAACGCAUUAAGCGCCCCGCCUGGGGAGUACGGCCGCAAGGCUAAAACUCAAAGGAAUUGACAGGGGCCCGCACAAGCGGCGGAGCAUGCGGAUUAAUUCGAUGCAACGCGAAGAACCUUACCAAGGCUUGACAUACACCGGAAACGGCCAGAGAUGGUCGCCCCCUUGUGGUCGGUGUACAGGUGGUGCAUGGUUGUCGUCAGCUCGUGUCGUGAGAUGUUGGGUUAAGUCCCGCAACGAGCGCAACCCUCGUUCUAUGUUGCCGGCGGGUUAUGCCGGGGACUCAUAGGAGACUGCCGGGGUCAACUCGGAGGAAGGUGGGGAUGACGUCAAAUCAUCAUGCCCCUUAUGUCUUGGGCUUCACGCAUGCUACAAUGGCCGGUACAAAGGGCUGCGAUACCGUAAGGUGGAGCGAAUCCCAAAAAAGCCGGUCUCAGUUCGGAUUGAGGUCUGCAACUCGACCUCAUGAAGUCGGAGUCGCUAGUAAUCGCAGAUCAGCAACGCUGCGGUGAAUACGUUCCCGGGCCUUGUACACACCGCCCGUCAAGUCAUGAAAGUCGGUAACACCCGAAGCCGGUGGCCUAACCCUUGUGGAAGGAGCCGUCGAAGGUGAUCGGAAUGU
rnacentral:rRNA from 1 species